rnacentral:rRNA from 1 species
GACGAACGCUGGCGGCGUGCUUAACACAUGCAAGUCGAACGGUGAAGCGAGUGCUUGCACUCGUGGAUCAGUGGCGAACGGGUGAGUAACACGUGAGUAACCUGCCCAUCACUCUGGGAUAAGCACUGGAAACGGUGUCUAAUACUGGAUACGACCAACCCUUGCAUGGGGGGUGGGGGGAAAGUUUUAGCGGUGAUGGAUGGACUCGCGGCCUAUCAGCUUGUUGGCGGGGUAAUGGCUCACCAAGGCGACGACGGGUAGCCGGCCUGAGAGGGUGACCGGCCACACUGGGACUGAGACACGGCCCAGACUCCUACGGGAGGCAGCAGUGGGGAAUAUUGCACAAUGGGCGAAAGCCUGAUGCAGCGACGCCGCGUGAGGGAUGACGGCCUUCGGGUUGUAAACCUCUUUCAGCAGGGAAGAAGCGAAAGUGACGGUACCUGCAGAAGAAGCACCGGCUAACUACGUG